CACGUAGGGGGCAAGCGUUGUCCGGAUUUAUUGGGCGUAAAGAGCUCGUAGGCGGCCCUGUCAGUCGGGUGUGAAAGCCCGGGGCUCAACCCCGGAACGGCACCCGAGACGGCAGGGCUGGAGACCGGGAGAGGAGGGUGGAAUAGCCAGUGUAGAGGUGAAAUUCGUAGAUAUUGGCUGGAACACCGGUGGCGAAAGCGGCUCUCUGGCCCGGUUCUGACGCUGAGGCGCGAAAGCGUGGGGAGCAAACAGG
rnacentral:rRNA from 1 species